CCCCGCCCGCCUGCCUGCCUGCCGGGCGGCGCUGCCGCGGUCACGGCCGGGGGAGGCCGCGCUGUGCAGGGCCAGGCCCCGGUACCGGCAGCGGGGACGGGGGAGGCCGCGAUUUCUCCCGCUUAAUCGUUUUUGAUUUUUUGUCUUUACUCCUCUUCCCCUCCCCACCCCCCUUCUGCUUUCUACUUUUGUAAAAAUAUCUCCCGUGAAGAUCGGCCCGUAGGGCGAGCUAAAGCGUUACGCUAUUUCCCGCUCAGCCAAAAGUAGUUGUCGGCCAACACUUCGUCCGCAGCGGUAACCAAUUCGGUGUGGCCGCCGGUGCUCCCCGGAGCAGGGUUUGACUCCCCGGAGGCAGCCUGCGGGCUCCCGCUGCUCCCCUCGUAAGCAGCGCUGCUGGGCCAGGGCUUUCACCGUGGCAGCCUCCCGCUAACCUUCUAAAGCUUCCCUCUUGUAGGGUAUGUUACGUAAUGUAUAUGUUAUAUAAUUUUAAUUACCGGGAGGUAAAUAUAGCAGGCAGUGAGUGAGGCAGCAAAUUCAGUUAUCUGGAAGAUGGGCUGUACUGAUAACAGCGAGCACUGCGCAAUCAUGAGGCUCGGCCAUAGGAACAUAGCUGUAAGCUCACUUGUGGGAUACUCUUCUAAAGUCUGGUCUGGAAGGAAGAGCUGUAGGAAGAACACAGUGCUUUUCCCAGGAGCUUAAUCCAAAAGUUUCAGGGAUGACAACAAAAAUAUUGUGCCUGGAAAUGAAGUUUUUUUCAAAGAGGACAGUCACCCCACAAAGAUGUCAUGCAGAGAAAUGGCUGCUGUGAUGUGACUUUUGGUAAUGAGCGUGCUCACUGCCAGCUUCUGCAUGAGGAAGUGACAUACCAUUGUGGACCAAAUGGAAUAUUUUACGAAUCACAAGGCCAGAUGAUGAUCCAGUACACAGCAUAUACGGGAAAAAACCCGAGGAGAAUGUUUUAAGGUCACAGAAUCUCCAGUUUGUCUCUGCCCCGGGGGUGGGAGAAAGGCGGGCCGCCCCCGUGGCUGGGGUCAGAGCAGGAGCAGGCCGAGAGCCAGGUGGUGGCGAGUAGGUGCCACCUGGGGGCUCGAUAGGCUCGGGAGAGGUGUGUGCCACCGAGCACCGGGCACCGCGCUCCCCCGCCGGGCCCUGCCCGUGCUUCCGAACAUGGAACGAACUUCCCGGCGGGCCGGGCCGGCGGUGCUGCCCCGCGGGAAGGGGACGGAGCGCGGAGCUGCCGUUUGCCUGCAGCGGUGGCGGGGCCCGGGCUCUCGCUGGCUCCCGUUCCCGCACGGAGAGUGCGGGGCUGGCUCGCCCUUAGCAUCGCCCCUGUCGGGAACCGCAGAGUUCAGGGGGAGGGGGCUCUGGCCUUAACGUACCCACCGCUGUGCCUUGGCGUGUUACCGUUUUAAUUGUAUGUAUCUCAGAGGGAGCUGCUGCUGAAUGUUUAAAGCUUGAUGUAACCGAUAUGCAUUUUUAUUCUGCGAAGUAAAAUCGUAUAUUGACCUAUUAAUCGCAUUUAGGCGUAUUUUGGGGUAUCUGGAUUCAGUGGGCGUGAAAAUGCCUUUUGGGGCCCGCGCAUUGCUGGGGGCCGGGACGAGCCGGGGAGCGGCGGGGAGGGCUCCCUUCCCGUGACGUUCGUGUGUCGGCGGGUGCCUGUUGCGGUGUCCCUAAGCGGGCCAGGGGGGCGUCCCCAGUCGUCGCCGAACCCGGCCGCCCGGGCGGCU
rnacentral:lncRNA from 1 species